rnacentral:lncRNA from 1 species
AACGCUCAUCUGGCUGUGGCAGCCUGUGACUGAAUGAGAGAAAAGUGCCCUAGAAGCUAUUCAUUACGAAUUCACUGGAAGCUCUCAAACGAGGCUGGCAGAAGCUGAAAUUGAAGUGGUCUCUGACCUAAUUUUCUUCUGCAUGAAACAUCUGCAUCAAGGCUCUCUUUGAUGUAUUCCACUUGGCUCUGUCUACGGGAUUGUAUCACAUGGCCUCCGUGUUGCCUCCUUAUUGAAAGACAUUUCCAGCCUGUGCAAGGUAAUGCGAUGUUACUGUUACCCAAGCUAAUCACUCAAUGUGCUCCUAAAAUAGAAACAAUAGCAGUUCAGAGACAAUGUUGUCUGCUGGCUGUUCUGCAG